rnacentral:tRNA from 1 species
GGGUUGGUAGCUCAGUGGUAGAGCAGCGGCCUUUUAAGCCGUUGGUCGUGGGUUCGAGCCCCACCCAACCCACCA